rnacentral:rRNA from 1 species
UACGUAGGGGGCAAGCGUUGUCCGGAAUUACUGGGCGUAAAGGGCGCGUAGGCGGCCUGCUAAGUCAUACGUGAAAUCCCUCGGCUCAACCGGGGAACUGCGUGUGAUACUGGCGGGCUUGAAUUCGGGAGAGGGAUGCGGAAUUCCAGGUGUAGCGGUGAAAUGCGUAGAUAUCAGGAGGAACACCGAUGGCGAAGGCAGGUCUCUGGGCAUUAACUGACGCUGAGGAGCGAAAGCAUGGGGAGCGAACAGG